GACGAACGCUGGCGGCGUGCUUAACACAUGCAAGUCGAACGGAAAGGCCCUGCUUUUGUGGGGUGCUCGAGUGGCGAACGGGUGAGUAACACGUGAGUAACCUGCCCUUGACUUUGGGAUAACUUCAGGAAACUGGGGCUAAUACCGGAUAGGAGCUCCUGCUGCAUGGUGGGGGUUGGAAAGUUUCGGCGGUUGGGGAUGGACUCGCGGCUUAUCAGCUUGUUGGUGGGGUAGUGGCUUACCAAGGCUUUGACGGGUAGCCGGCCUGAGAGGGUGACCGGCCACAUUGGGACUGAGAUACGGCCCAGACUCCUACGGGAGGCAGCAGUGGGGAAUAUUGCACAAUGGGCGGAAGCCUGAUGCAGCAACGCCGCGUGCGGGAUGACGGCCUUCGGGUCGUAAACCGCUUUCGCCUGUGACGAAGCGUGAGUGACGGUAAUGGGUAAAGAAACACCGGCUAACUACGU
rnacentral:rRNA from 1 species